GUCCAGCAGGUGAAGCCCAGCACCAGUGUGGGGACUACUGUCUGCUUGCUCUCUUUUUGCUUCUUCUCUCCAGGAAUAAGGCUGAAGGCAGAGAGAAAGCCACUCAGGAUUUCCCACUUCCAGAAGUUCUGGAGACUAGAAGUCCAAAAUCAAGGAGUCAGCAGAGCCAUGCUUCCUCUGAAACCAACAGGGCCAACUCUAUGGAUUUCUCCAGCCUCCAGAUACCUGAAAUUCUACAAUUAGAAAUUAAUUCAUUUGAUGUCAGCUCACAGUUAUAUGGGAAAGGAUACAUAGUAAUAUUUCUCAGCCAACCACCUUAGCAUGAGUGAAUUUAUGACCUUUUCUGAGAGUUAGUUUUGAAAGACGAGAAUAGGGAAGAAGCAUGAAUGCACUAAGCCUGGAUUAAAGGGAAGCCACACCAGGUCAUCACCCUAGAAAAACUCUUGCACAUGUGCACCAGGAUUUACGUGCAAGAAUGUUCUUGGCAGCACAGUUCAUAACAGACUCAAACUGGAAACAACCCUAUCCACCAAGAAUAGAAUGGAAAAAUGCAUUGUAGUGUAUUCAUACAGUGGAAUACAACACAGUGAUGAAAAUGAGUGACCUGCGGCUACACCAGAGACUUGUUUGAAUUUCAUAAAAUUAUGUUAGAGAAAUAAUGUGGACACAGAAGAAUGUAUUCAAUAGGAAUCCAUACAUGUAACGUUCAAAUAUAGGUGGUACAAUUAUAAAGAAUAAGAAGGAAAUUAAUGUCAGAAACAUCAGGAUAAGAGUAGUUAAUUCUAGUGGGGAGGGGAGGUUGUGUUCACUCAGGGGACACACAGGGGGCUUCUUGGAGGCUAAUAAUUGCAAUUUCUUGACCUGGGUGUUGGUUACACAGAGGGUUGCUUUGCAAUUAUUUGUUAAACUGUCCAAAUGUGUUCUAUACAUUUUUAUAUGUGUGCGUUUCAUCUCAUCUUUCCAAAAAUUAAAAGGAAGGACAGGCAGGUAAGCCAGGCCCCCAAACCCAACCUCAUUUCUUUGCAUAGCUAAUCCAGACCAGGUUCUAGGAGACCUGCAGGAGAAGUGGUCAGGGUUGGAACAGGUGGUGCAAAGCUCUGUACAUAGCAUCUGUGGAUAUUCAACCACGUUAGAUCCCGCCAAACUGUUUCCCAAAGGUAUUGAAUCAACUUGCUCUCUCACCAGCAGUGAAUAAGAAUUCUUCUUGUUUUGCAUCUUCACUAUCAUUUGAUGCUGUCAGAUUUUAAAUUCUGCUUCUUUUGUGAGAUAUUUAAAGGCAUCUCCUUAAGUUACAUUAUUCUAGUAAUUAACGAAGUUGAGCAUCUUUUUCAUAUAUUUUUUGUCUUUUGUGAAAUGCCUGUUCA